rnacentral:rRNA from 1 species
UAAGGGAUAUUGCGACAAUGGGCGAAAGCCUGACGCAGCAACGCCGCGUGUGGGAUGACGGUCUUCGGAUUGUAAACCACUUUUCGGGGCGAAGAGGAAGGACGGUAGCCCCGGAAGAAGUCUCGGCUAACUACGUGCCAGCAGCCGCGGUAAAACGUAGGAGGCGAACGUUAUCCGGAUUUACUGGGUGUAAAGCGCGUGCAGGCGGAGCGGUAAGUUGCUUGUGAAAGCGCCCGGCUCAACCGGGCGAGGACGAGCGAAACUGCUGGUCUAGAGGUGGGUAGAGGCGUAUGGAAUUCCGGGUGUAGUGGUGAAAUGCGUAGAGAUCCGGAGGAACACCAGUGGCGAAGGCGAUACGCUGGGCCUAACCUGACGCUAAGACGCGAAAGCAUGGGGAGUGAACGG